GGCCAGUGGCAGAGUCACUUGCUGGUGUAGUCAGGCUUGGGGAUUGGGGACAGGGCCAGAAACCCAUGCCAGUCCUAAUGACAAACAGCUGGCUGGCUGCAACAGACCUAGUCAUUGCCUUGGCAGGGAUUACAGGCCACAGCUGUGCAGCAGCAGUGUUCACCAAGGGGAAAGGAGGAGCAGCUGGAGCCUUUAUGAAGCUCCUGGAACUGAGGCAUGGAAGGGAACAGAGUGCAGAGCGCAUGGGACAACGAACAGGUGCAAGCAUACAGGUGAACUCUGAGCUCAUUAUUUUAACAGCAACAAGGUAAAGAGGGAAGAAGUGAGCAAGCAAGUAAACAGAUCCAAAAAUCUACUUGAAAAUGAUAAAUCCAGAAAAAGAUCUCCUCUCAGAGCAUGAAUGCAGAAUAAAAUCUGCCUGGAGCUUCAUAACCAGUUUUCAAAUACUGAACCAAAAUGAGAGCACUCCUGCAGCUGGCUAUUCUUGAGCUGUGGUGAAGAAGUCCAGAUCCAUCCAUGGGGUUGGGCCCCAUCUGUGCUCCAAACACUUGGCCUCAGCCUGAAGCAGAAUGCUUUAUGGCUAAGUUCAGACAGUCAAAAAGCAGGAGGCUGAAUCAAUUCAAUUCAAUUCAAUCUUCACAGGUUAGUCUAAGCUGCAUAGAUUGAACUGAUGAGCAAGUGAACAGGCAUUAACUUUUGAUUCUGGAAAUGCAGCUGCAUGCCUACAGUGGCUCAGUCCAGAAAGCAGUUUAUGUGCACUGACCUUUUGUUGUGUUACAGAUUUGAACUGGUGUCCGAUCACUUACACCGGUUUAUAUGUCAUUUCUGGCCUUAGCCCAUGUGUCUGCAUAGUGCCUAAGAGGAAUGGCCAUCCUCAGUGCUGCCUCAACACAAAUAAUAAAAAAUAAUAAUU